GGACUUGUGGUGUAGUGGUUAUCACGUCUGCUUUACAAGUUGUUACUAUUAUCGCAGCAGGUCCCCGGUUCGACCCCGGGCAGGUUCA